rnacentral:ncRNA from 2 species
GGGUGUAAAGGGCAAACUUCUUGAAAAGGAAGGACGCAAAGCCGUGAAUCUAAGGCGGGAAAUACUUGCUAUGAUUGUCUGGUUGCCAUA